rnacentral:rRNA from 1 species
UACGGGGGGGGCAAGCGUUGUUCGGAAUUACUGGGCGUAAGGGCUCGUAGGCGGCCAACUAAGUCGGAUGUGAAAUCCCCAGGCUUAACCUGGGAACUGCAUCCGAUACUGGAUGGCUUGAAUCCGGGAGAGGGAUGCAGAAUUCCAGGUGUAGCGGUGAAAUGCGUAGAUAUCUGGAGGAAUACCGGUGGCGAAGGCGGCAUCCUGGACCGGCAUUGACGCUGAGUGAGCGAAAGCCAGGGGAGCAAACGGG